AAACAUUCAUGCAAUCCAAUCAAUCAUAAUAGAAAUUCCAUGACAACCACACAAUUAAGCAAUCAUGCCAUUGAUGUUAGACUACAUAUCAAUAUCCGUUAGAAUCCCAUAAUGGAGUUUAGUUCAUCUCUGAACCGAAAACCAUUAUGGGAUUAUAACAACACAUGAAAAAUAAAUAAAAUAAUUGAGAGAGAAGAUAGAAUUGAUCAAACCCAAUUGCAGAUUAUGUUCCAAAAGUGCUGUUCAAAUCUCCAAUAUUAUCCAACAAAAUUAAAGUAGUUCUUAUUCAAUGAAUCAAUCCAAAAGAAGAUAAAGAAAAUCUUCAAUGUAUGUUCAACCCUCUUUGGAAUUGUUAAAAGCUUGGAACCCUAGUUCUAUAAUCUAAAAACUGAUUAAAAUAAUAAUCAUAAUUUCAUCUGGUACUAACCAGAGUAGUUUAUGUCAAUACAAACACUUCCAAUUUCAAAUUUUAAAUUAAG
rnacentral:lncRNA from 1 species